UAAGCAUGUACAAGCCCCUGUCCGACCGCAUUACUAUCCGCCAUGAUCGGAGCCAAGCCGGCCGUCCCUAGCGUGCUCCUUGUGUCAAUCAAAUGCAAUCUUAAUUAUUCCAUUUGUAUUGUUCAUUUGUUUGUUUUGUUGGUCGAUCGCUCCGUCAUGUGUUAUGUCUCGUGGAGUUGUAGUAUCAUCAUGUAAUAGUGCUUGCUUCUUCUUCUUCUAGUCCAUUGUGUGUAUCACAUAUGUAUGAUCACGUCUCCUGUUCUUGGUCUGUCAAAGUGUUAUUCGAUUGAUGGCCGGCUUAAUCGACGAGUGUUUUGUUAAUUAUGAGUUCAUAUCUCCCAAUUUGAAGUAUGGUGAUUCAAAGGGGAGCUAUGCAGUACUAGUUUUUGGCUUAAUUACAUUUAGGGAAGAGUGGAUUUGGAGUACUCCAUGCAUAUCGGCGCCGCUCGCCGUCGCCGCCGACGCUGAAUAGUUCUGGAAGUUUGCCUUGUCGGCCGUCGUGUCCUUCUGGUGCUAAAAGCCCAUCUUUUUCUCCUUUUUUUUUCUUUUCUUUUUUUUUGGAGGCAACUGUUAGAAGAGAGGGAAUGGUGGGCCAUAUUAAGUGGGGCCCACAUGCCGUAUCAUAUCCAUGACCUUUGUCCUUGCGUUGCCGGCGGCGGCGGCGGCUACGGCCAUGGAGAUCUCACGCGACCAUUUGCCGGUGAGGUCGGCUGCUCCGCCUCCGCCUCCGCAUCUACGCCUGAUUGAUCCCCACCCCUCUCUCCACUGACUGUGCUAUCGCGUUUCCGGCGGUGGUUGAUCGAGGCGGUAGCCCGUGCGGCGCGCGAGAUUCCGCCCGUCCACGGAUUUCCGGUCGCCAUCGCCGGGGUUCGUCUUCUCCGGCCAGCCCCUCGCCGCGCGAACCUGCGCCGCCCGUCCUCGGCCAGGAUCUGGUCGGGGAUCGCUUGUGGUAGGUGUUAGGGGGCACUUGGGUUUGGAGGACAGCAUCGUUGAUGUGCUUUGACUUUGAGUUCCUUGCUAAUUUAGUUAUGCUGACUGUUCCCAUAAUCCCUAAAAUCCCAGCAGUUGCGUUGCGUGGUAGGUUAUGUAAAGCGCAUUCCUGUGAUGAAAAAUAGACCCUGGGAGACAUAUUAUCAAUUGUAUCAAGCGAUCCAACACACUAGGUCCCCAAAUAUUGUCGUAGAUACCAUUUUCUCUUCAGUAUGCUGCUUAAAACGCAAAGUGGGGAUGUUGAGUUGUAAGAAGACCAGAUGCAUCUGCUCUGAUUUUAGAGGCAUGUAUAACCUGUCAAAGAGCAGCAAAAGAAAUGCAUCAUAGCUGUGUGAUACAUAACUUUGCCAGGAGAGAUCUCUCUAUUUAAGCACACAGACUGCUAUGGCAUUGUUAACCAUUUGCUCAGUUGCUCUUAAAUGCAUUUCUGCUGGCAGAAGAUGGUAGCAUGGUGGAGGUUCUGUUGUUAAACCCGGUAUCAGGACUUGAUCAAGCAAUUUGGUAUGUUCGGUGAAAAUUCAUGCACAUUUGAGCGAUCGUACAGUACUCCGAAGUUGGUGUUUUCUAUCCUCCGGUAAUUGUGGAUCACUGGUAUAAUGAGGAAAUCAACCUAACGUAUAAUUGCCAUGGUCUAUAUUUGUGUGUAUGUGGAGACUGGUGUGUGUACUAAUUUUCUGGAAUGUCAUUUAGUCAGAAGAGUUGUUUAGAAGAGGCAUAGGCAAAUUCUCUUGUAAGGCUUUUGUAGUUCCUUGAGAGUUUAACAUGGUUAUAACAUUAGUGCGCCGGCCGUCCUCGGCCAGGAUCUGGUCGGCAUAGCUUGUGGUUGUUGGGCACUUGGGGUUUGGGGUUUGAAAGACAGUGUCGUUGAUGUGCUUUGAGUUCCUGCUUAAUUGAGUUAUGCUGACUUUGUUAGUA